rnacentral:rRNA from 1 species
UGGGGAAUUUUGGACAAUGGGCGAAAGCCUGAUCCAGCAAUGCCGCGUGUGUGAAGAAGGCCUUCGGGUUGUAAAGCACUUUUGUCCGGAAAGAAAUCCUUGGCUCUAAUACAGUCGGGGGAUGACGGUACCGGAAGAAUAAGCACCGGCUAACUACGUGCCAGCAGCCGCGGUAAUACGUAGGGUGCAAGCGUUAAUCGGAAUUACUGGGCGUAAAGCGUGCGCAGGCGGUUUGCUAAGACCGAUGUGAAAUCCCCGGGCUCAACCUGGGAACUGCAUUGGUGACUGGCAGGCUAGAGUAUGGCAGAGGGGGGUAGAAUUCCACGUGUAGCAGUGAAAUGCGUAGAGAUGUGGAGGAAUACCGAUGGCGAAGGCAGCCCCCUGGGCCAAUACUGACGCUCAUGCACGAAAGCGUGGGGAGCAAACAGGAUUAGAUACCCUGGUAGUCCACGCCCUAAACGAUGUCAACUAGUUGUGGGGAUUCAUUCUUAGUAACGUAGCUAACGCGUGAAGUUGACCGCCUGGGGAGUACGGUCGCAAGAUUAAAACUUAAAGGAAUUGACGGGGUCAUAGCUGUUUCCU